CACUAAACGUUUCCAUACUGAACAACCACAGCUUUCCCCUCUGUGAACAUGGAGAAACUGGCUGCAAUUCUGCUCUGUUCAGCUCUCAUAGGUAACAGCUUGGAAGAUGAUAUUACUGCCAUCAGUGCUGAAGUGUGUUCCUCAGAGGGCCGUAGUGUUACUCUGUCCUGUACAUAUUCAGUUAAAGCCAAUAACCUCCAGUGGUACAGACAGGAUCCUGGAUCAGCUCCUCAGUUCCUCCUCCUGAUCACUGACACAGCACAGCCUUACGUGGUGGAAGCAAAACCUCCAAUCCCUCGACUGAAUGCCACACUGAACUUGGAGAGAAAUCAAGUGGAUCUGCAGAUCUCCUCUGCUGCAGUGACAGACUCUGCUGUGUACUACUGUGCUCUGCAUCACACAGCACUGAGACUGCUCUAA